CAAUUAAGAAAAUGCCUCUGUAAGAUCAGAGUAUAACAGAGAAGAUUAGCAUGGGCCCUGCACAAGGCUGACACACAGAUUCGUGAAGCGUUCCAUAUUUGG
ensembl:snRNA U6 U6 spliceosomal RNA